AAUGACUAACAACAGGGCGUAUAAAUCUGCCAGUAUUGCUGUUACAUGUACAAUAUAAAUACACUAUAUGCUGUAAAAUAAAAUUGCAGCCACUUUGAAAAAGCUGAUUAUAGAUUGAUAUAGACUGAGCCCUUUUUCAGGAGUAGCCUAUAUAUUUUUUUCCGUCAUCCCAGUUAGUUUUUAAAAUGAGAAAAAAAACGUAUUUCUUCUGCAUCAAAACAAUGUAGACUAUUGUUGCUUUAUGCACCAGGAGUUAAUGACCAUAUAUAAGGCUUUGCAGAUGUCCAGCAAACGCAGGUGAGUUUUGAAUGUCUAGCCUGUUUCCUCCACAUGAACCUUUCCAGGAACAAGUAUUUAUUUAACCCUACUGCGCAUGUCUUGCAUCCUUCAAGAGAGUCACAGAAUAUUCUUAACUCGAGCAGCACAAACAGCACGCGACAAAGGCUUCUUUACACAUUUCGAUGCUGUGAAAAGCUGGAGAGCUGACAGCACAGCCCACGACAUCCUCCAGGAGGGCGGAGGGAGAAUGAGGAAGUGGUAACGUUGGCGCCAGGCAGUCCAGAUUAGUUUAUAUUAGUUCAGUGGAUUAUUCAAUAUGCAUCACACUUAAAGAACCUGUACAAUAAUAUUGUAAAGUUAGUAUCUAUGGAUUUGUUUGCACAAAUAAAAUUAACUAAACUGUU